GUUGAGGACAAUUAACUAUGAUCGAUGAGCCAAUCAGUCGAACGACUAACAGUUAGUGGUUGCAGGACCUCAACUGCUUGGCGAGACAGCAAUAUGUGCAUCGAGAUUUCUUUAACUCAUUUCAAUUGGUUCAAAUUAACUCUGCUUAUGUGUAUAUCAUGACCGAUAAAUAGUAAAUCAAUGCCCUCUUAUGUGAUUCGCCGAAAUGUUAACGAUAUGCGGACAAUCCAAAGAAACGAAAGAUCUUAAACUCUUGGAUGAGAAGUUAAAGUUAAGCAGUGCUUGUCCAGACGUUCGUGAAGCAGAGGACGACAAAAAAGAAGAUUAUUUCAGUCAGGAAAUUACGAGACUCAGGGCCACGAACACCGAUAAUGCAUUAAUCAUCUCAAGAAGAGACCGCCUAAGGCAAAUUUACGAGCGCGAUGCGAUCGAGCUAGAAAAUUUGAUACGGGCCUUGGGUUACGCCUUCAUUCCCACACAACCUUGACCAUUUUUGUCGCGUCUUUUUUUUGUUCGUUUGGCGACCUUCAUUGUAACGAAUGAAUAGUAAACGCAAUACUUUCAUCGUUUUCAUUUCGAGUAUACCUCGUCAGGAUUUGAUUGAAUGCGUUUUGUGG